rnacentral:rRNA from 1 species
UACGGAGGGUGCAAGCGUUGUUCGGAAUUACUGGGCGUAAAGCGUACGUAGGCGGCGAGUUAAGUCGAAUGUUAAAGCCCGGGGCUCAACCCCGUGGAUGCCUUCGAUACUGGCUUGCUAGAGGGUGAUAGAGGAAAGUGGAAUUCCGAGUGUAGCGGUGAAAUGCGUAGAUAUUCGGAGGAACAUCAGUAGCGAAGGCGACUUUCUGGGUCACACCUGACGCUGAGGUACGAAAGCGUGGGUAGCAAACAGG